AAUAUUGGUCAAUGGGCGGGAGCCUGAACCAGCCAUGCCGCGUGCGGGACGAAGGCCCUAUGGGUCGUAAACCGCUUUUAUACGGGAACAACCGCAGUUACGUGUAACUGUCUGAGUGUACCGUAGGCAUAAGGAUCGGCUAACUCCGUGCCAGCAGCCGCGGUAAUACGUAGGGGGCGAGCGUUAUCCGGAAUUAUUGGGCGUAAAGGGUGCGUAGGCGGCCUUUUAAGUCAGAUGUGAAAGGCUACGGCUUAACCGUAGUUAGCAUUUGAAACUAAAAGGCUUGAGUGCAGGAGAGGAGAGUGGAAUUCCUAGUGUAGCGGUGAAAUGCGUAGAUAUUAGGAGGAACACCAGUGGCGAAGGCGACUCUCUGGACUGCAACUGACGCUGAGGCACGAAAGCGUGGGGAGCGAACA
rnacentral:rRNA from 1 species